rnacentral:tRNA from 1 species
GCCCGGAUGGCGGAAUUGGCAGACGCAGGGGACUCAAAAUCCCCCGACCGCAAGGUCUUGCGAGUUCGACCCUCGCUCUGGGCA